UACGGGGGGAGCAAGCGUUGUUCGGAUUACUGGCGUAAAGGGCGCGUAGGCGGCCACCGCAAGUCGACUGUGAAAUCUCGUGGGCUUAACCCAGAAAGGUCAGCCGAUACUCUGCGGGCUGAGAGUGAGAAGGGGACGACUGGAAUUCUCGGUGUAGCGGUGAAAUGCGUAGAUAUCGAGAGGAACACCUGCGGCGACGGCGGGUUGCUGGGCAACAACUGACGCUGAGGAGCGAAAGCGUGGGAGCGAACAGG
rnacentral:rRNA from 1 species